rnacentral:rRNA from 1 species
UGAGGAAUAUUGGGCAAUGCCCGCAAGGGUGACCCAGCAACGCCGCGUGGAGGAUGAAUGUCGUAAGAUUGUAAACUCCUGUUAGAGGGGAAGAAUAGUACCGGUUGGACCGGUAUAUGACUGUACCCUCAGAGAAAGCCCCGGCUAACUACGUGCCAGCAGCCGCGGUAAUACGUAGGGGGCAAGCGUUGUCCGGAUUUACUGGGUGUAAAGGGCGCGCAGGCGGGAUAAAAAGUCAGUGGUGAAAUCCUACAGCUUAACUGUAGAACUGCCUUUGAUACUUUUAUUCUUGAGUUAGGGAGAGAGAGACGGAAUUCCAGGUGUAGUGGUGAAAUACGUAGAUAUCUGGAAGAACACCAGUUGCGAAGGCGGUCUCUUGGUCCGACACUGACGCUGAGGCGCGAAAGCGUGGGG